GACGAACGCUGGCGGCGUGCCUAAUACAUGCAAGUUGAGCGCUGAAGGUUGGUACUUGUCCCAACUGGAUGAGCAGCGAACGGGUGAGUAACGCGUGGGGAAUCUGCCUUUGAGCGGGGGACAACAUUUGGAAACGAAUGCUAAUACCGCAUAAAAACUUUAAACACAAGUUUUAAGUUUGAAAGAUGCAAUUGCAUCACUCAAAGAUGAUCCCGCGUUGUAUUAGCUAGUUGGUGAGGUAAAGGCUCACCAAGGCGAUGAUACAUAGCCGACCUGAGAGGGUGAUCGGCCACAUUGGGACUGAGACACGGCCCAGACUCCUACGGGAGGCAGCAGGAGGGAAUCUUCGGCAAUGGACGAAAGUCUGACCGAGCAACGCCGCGUGAGUGAAGAAGGUUUUCGGAUCGUAAAACUCUGUUGGUAGAGAAGAACGUUGGUGAGAGUGGAAAGCUCAUCAAGUGACGGUAACUACCCAGAAAGGGACGGCUAACUACGUG
rnacentral:rRNA from 1 species